rnacentral:pre_miRNA from 1 species
UCCCUGAGACCCUAACUUGUGAGGUUUUUGAGCAACGAUCACAAGUCAGGCUCUUGGGACCU